CCUACGGGAGGCUGCAGUGGGGAAUAUUGCACAAUGGGGGGAACCCUGAUGCAGCGACGCCGCGUGGGUGAAGAAGUACUUCGUUAUGUAAAGCUCUAUCAGCAGGGAAGAAAAUGACGGUACCUGACCAAGAAGCCCCGGCUAACUACGUGCCAGCAGCCGCGGUAAUACGUAGGGGGCAAGCGUUAUCCGGAUUUACUGGGUGUAAAGGGAGCGUAGACGGCAAGGCAAGUCUGGAGUGAAAGGCGGUGGCUCAACCACGGGACUGCUCUGGAAACUGUGCUGCUGGAGUGCAGGAGGGGUAAGUGGAAUUCCUAGUGUAGAGGUGAAAUGCGUAGAUAUUAGGAGGAACACCAGUGGCGAAGGCGGCUUACUGGACUGUAACUGACGUUGAGGCUCGAAGGCGUGGGGAGCAAACAGGAUUAGAUACCCUAGUAGUC
rnacentral:rRNA from 1 species